rnacentral:rRNA from 1 species
GUAGUCCACACCGUAAACGCUGUCUACUAGCUGUUUGUGGCUUUAAGCCGUGAGUAGCGAAGCUAACGCGAUAAGUAGACCGCCUGGGGAGUACGGCCGCAAGGUUAAAACUCAAAUGAAUUGACGGGGGCCCGCACAAGCGGUGGAGCAUGUGGUUUAAUUCGAUGCAACGCGAAGAACCUUACCUACACUUGACAUGCAGAGAACUUUCUAGAGAUAGAUUGGUGCCUUCGGGAACUCUGACACAGGUGCUGCAUGGCUGUCGUCAGCCUCGUGUCGUGAGAUGUUGGGUUAAGUCCCCGCAACGG